GAUUAUCUUCUUGUCUACCGAGACGGACACUUUGAUCCAGACAGCCAGCAUCAAUCUUAUCAGAACCGGGUGGAUCUGCAGGACAAAGAGAUGAAGGACGGAGACUUUUGUCUGAUUCUGAAGAAAGUGAAGAUGGAGGACAGAGGAACAUACGUGUGUCUUGUUGACCAGAGUGGAAAGACUGAACUCAUCAGCAUCAUCAAUCUGGAAGUUUAUGGAAGAGAUUAGAGGGAAGGAAUAAGAAGAGACCAGAGUAGGGUGGAGGAAAAUAAAGAGCUGCUGUGAGGUGCAACAGAUUAACAGGUAGUGCCACUGACCAAGAAACUGAUGCUACAGUGAAAAGAUGGCUACACCUGGCCCUGAUGGAGAUGGAGGGAGGAGAGUCUGGAUGCAGAGGAAGACCAAUGAACAGGAAAGGGGAAAGUAAUGAUGGUUAAUGAUUAAUGAUGAUUUGUACACUCGUUCCUGUAGUUUUGGCCAUCUAGUUCUGAGCCUGUUAAGUUUUUAUUUGUUCUACUGUUCCUGACAUGUGUGUGUG